GCUUACAUUAUGAAUCCAGCCUUUUCUUGCUAUGGGGAGACAGGAAGUGGUGGUUGGCAUAUAAUUAGACUAGCUUUGACCUUCAAGGCCAGAAUGUGAGAAAAUGGAGAGAAUAUAAGAACAUUUAUGCAGGAAACUGGGAGUCAGGAUCAAGGGGAGGAAAAGGUGUUGAAGUACCAAUUUGUACUUCCAUAGCUGGUUUCUUAUCAAUAAACUGAUAUGAAUUCUGCUAUGUCCUUCUAAUGUUUCAGCCUGGGCCUAGAAAGGUGGUGUUGACACUCGAGCUCCUGGGAGGGUGACUUAUUUCAGUGGAAAUUCGGCUCUGUAGUUCAGUUCUGCCCUUGGAAGCAACCAAAAUCGCAGUCUGCUUCAUUUGCAGUUGUCAUUUACUGCCUAGUUGUAUCCACCUGUUUUUCUGCCUCUGCUGUGGGAACAAGUCAUAUCUACCCUUUUAAACAGGGAAUCAAGGAGAAAGAUGAACACAGGAAGGCAGGAAAAAUCUGUCCAGAUGACGAUGGAGGAGGCCCCGACCACCAGCACCCUAGGGCGCAGUUCAGCACCAAAGAUUAAGCAGCCGCACAAAAAGAAGCGUGUUCAAAGACGGCAUCGGAGACCCCACCGCCCCCAACGGCAGCAGCCAGCCAAAAGCCUUGCCAAGCUAAAAGUGAGAGGCAAGAGCUGCUCAAUGCCGAAUUUGGUUUAUAAAAGAAUGACAUCUGAAAGCCAAGAGAGCAAACUGAGAUCUUGCUACCGUAACUGGAAGGAACCCUUGGUCAAAUUCCCACCAGAAUCCAGAUCUGGCUGCAUCCUGGCAACGGCAGUCAAUGAGCAGGGGCUGCCAUAUAUGUCGGGGAUGAAACUUGCAGAGAGACAUUUGUCUAGCACAGAGGGACACCCCAGAAGCCCUGGGAAUUUUUGCUGUGCAAGAGAAAAUCCAAGGAGCAGCUGUUUACCAAUGGAGCCGGGAAAGCGUGAAGCAACAGCUACGUGCCAUCUAUGUGGGGAAUGCAUGCCACAAGGUGUCUACGGUGACCCAACCAUCCAUCCAGCUUCCUUCCUGGGAAUCAAGCAACGCCCAAAGCUACAAUGGCAGGGACACCCCAGAUGAUGUCAAAUGCCCAGUUGGUAUUGAAUUUCGAAGAAGCAAGUACCCAGACACCCUACCAGACGGCCUUACAAACCUCACCCACAAAAUCAACAACCUGGUGCUUGUUAACAAUAACGAUGAUGCACUCUCUGAAAAAGAUUUCCCCGGCUCACCAGCAAAUUCAUGCACCACCCAGAUGCAGUCUACAGAGCUCUUCCAGGCAACAUGCAGGAGUUCUUCAUGGACAAACGGCCAUGAAGGAUGGCAUGGGGAACAGAGCCACAAGCCACAGGUAUUUUGGAACACGCUCUUAGCAUCGCCCACUUGUGCCAGAAGACAUCUGCGGCCAAGGCCUUUGUCAGCAAAGGAGGAAUGUGAGAAAGAUUCAGCUCAGAGACCCAGCUGUGCAGAGGACCAAGAUGGGCAGGCAUUCAAGAAAGAUGCCGAGGCUCAAAACAUACUGGAUCUCAGCAGAAAACCCACCAUCGUCCACAUCCGAAGUGCCAUUGUUAUCCCAGCCAUUACUCUGUGCUCAUCUAGUGAAAGUAUCGACUCAGAGACGCCCUCUGUCACUCCCUCCACCACCAACCAGUUUCUAUCAGAGCCCACGGGGCCUACACCCCACAGCGCACCUGGUUUUCAUCCUGUAUAGGUAGACGAAAAGCUAGCUGGGUUUCUUGCACAUCUUUCCCAGAGUGAAAAGGGAUGCACUCUCCUCUGAAAGCACGAAGAGCUGAGCGACAAGGCAUCCUGUCUGGAUGUUUGAUAGGGCUUGGACCCAGGAAUCCAGCCUUUGUUAUUGGGUCUAGUGGAACAAAGAAGAGGCAACAUUCUGGAACGCUCUUUUAACCUUGAGAGGGGCUGGGCUCCUGAAAACUCUUGUCAAGAGGUUUUAUUUCUGAAAAACUGUUUCCAAGAUGCUUUUAGAAUUGACUUGGCUCCUUGUAUUCACCCGCUGUGUUUGAACUGUAAUAAAAAAUUUCCAAGAGGUGGCA
ensembl:lncRNA